rnacentral:lncRNA from 1 species
GGGAACGGGAGUUGCGCGCCAGAGAGCCGGAGGGGCCGCGGAACUCCUCCUCGCCGGUCCUCCUGGGCCCUGGGAUCAGCUCUGCACAAAUAUUGGGAUUUGAUGGGAGUUGGGCGGAGUCAGAACCCCAGGAGAAGAAGGGGUGAAGAACGGUAUCUGUUCUGUGUGGCGCUCCAUUGAGAAGGAGCCCCGGGGCUUUUGUGAGGUCAGCACUGAGAGAGGCGACGGUGACAGUGGCACACCGCUCUCCCCGAGCACCGGCACACACCGCUUCUCACCAACUCUUUCACCACACACACACCAGCACAGAACUGACCGAUGGAAAAAUGUGUAGCAUAAAGGUUUAAUUCAGUCUGAAUUUCAAUUAUAUUGGCAAUAAGAUUUUUUAUCAUGACAUUUUAUCAAUAUUAUCAUAUAGACCUAUUUGUUUAUUGGCAGUAUGUUUAAUAAUUCAGUUUUAGUGUACAUAUCAGUAUAUUUGUCCAUUUUGUACAAUGUUGUUAAUUAAUUAUUACAGUAUUAAUCAAAACAUAAUAAUUACAAAUUGUAUUAAUUAGUAGUAAUUCAGCCGGUGGUACAGAACAUAAAUGUGAUUUUAAAUUUAUAUUUAACGGACAUGCAAUUAUAAUUAUUUCUAUAUUUAUAAAACAUUAAUAAAAAGGUCAGUGAAUCAUAUAAGUUAAAUCUG